GGAUUGUGGCUCAGCGGUAGAGCGCUCGCCUAUCAUGUGUGGGGAUCUGGGUUCGAUCCCCAGCACCA
rnacentral:tRNA from 1 species